rnacentral:tRNA from 2 species
GGUUGCAUAGUGUAGUGGUUAUCACUCCAGAUUUUGAUUCUGGUAACCCCGGUUCGGUAUGUUGAGCCUCGAGCUUUAUCUAGGAAUAAUGCAACUAACUAAUGGCCGCAGAACCCGGGUGCGACCU